rnacentral:rRNA from 1 species
UACGUAGGAUCCGAGCGUUGUCCGGAGUUACUGGGUGUAAAGGGUGCGUAGGCUGUUCUGUGCGUCAGAGGUGAAAUCCACGGGCUUAACUCGUGGGGUGCCUUUGAUACGGCAGGGCUUGAGUACGAGAGAGGUGCGUGGAAUUCCUGGUGUAGCAGUGAAAUGCGUAGAUAUCAGGAGGAACACCGGUGGCGAAGGCGGCGCACUGGCUCGUAACUGACGCUGAGGCACGAAAGCGUGGGGAUCAAACAGG